AGAGCGAACGCUGGCGGCAGGCCUAACACAUGCAAGUCGAGCGCCCGUAGCAAUACGGGAGCGGCAGACGGGAUAGUAACACGUGGGAACGUACCCUUUGGUUCGGAACAACACAGGGAAACUUGUGCUAAUACCGGAUAAGCCCUUACGGGGAAAGAUUUAUUGCCAAAGGAUCGGCCCGCGUCUGAUUAGCUUGUUGGUGAGGUAACGGCUCACCAAGGCUACGAUCAGUAGCUGGUCUGAGAGGAUGAUCAGCCUCACUGGGACUGAGACACGGCCCAGACUCCUACGGGAGGCAGCAGUGGGGAAUAUUGGACAAUGGGCGCAAAGCCUGAUCCAGCCAUGCCGCGUGGAUGAUGAAAGGCCCUAGGGUUGUAAAGUCCUUUCGACGGGAAGAUAAUGACGGUACCCGUAGAAGAAGCCCCGGCUAACUUCGUGCCAGCAGCCGC
rnacentral:rRNA from 1 species